CCUACGGGAGGCAGCAGUGAGGAAUAUUGGUCAAUGGACGGAAGCCUGAACCAGCCAAGUCGCGUGAGGGAAUAAGGCCCUACGGGUCGUAAACCUCUUUUGCCGGGGAGCAAGGGCCGGGACGAGUCCCGGUCCGGAGAGUACCCGGAGAAAAAGUAUGGGCUAACUCCGUGCCAGCAGCCGCGGUAAUACGGAGGAUGCGAGCGUUAUCCGGAUUUAUUGGGUUUAAAGGGUGCGUAGGCGGGCUUUUAAGUCAGCGGUAAAAAUUCGGGGCUCAACCCCGUCCGGCCGUUGAAACUGGGGGCCUUGAGUGGGCGAGAAGAAGGCGGAAUGCGUGGUGUAGCGGUGAAAGGCAUAGAUAUCACGCAGAACCCCGAUUGCGAAGGCAGCCUUCCGGCGCCCUACUGACGCUGCGUCACGAAAGUGCGGGGAUCGAACAGGAUUAGAUACCCUUGUAGUC
rnacentral:rRNA from 1 species